UACGUAGGGCGCAAGCGUUAUCCGGAAUUAUUGGGCGUAAAGAGCUCGUAGGCGGUUUGUCGCGUCUGCCGUGAAAGUCCGGGGCUCAACUCCGGAUCUGCGGUGGGUACGGGCAGACUAGAGUGAUGUAGGGGAGACUGGAAUCCUGGUGUAGCGGUGAAAUGCGCAGAUAUCAGGAGGAACACCGAUGCGAAGGCAGGUCUCUGGGCAUUAACUGACGUGAGGAGCGGAAAGCAUGGGGAGCGAACAGGAUUAGACUACCCGUAGUC
rnacentral:rRNA from 1 species